GACGAACGCUGGCGGCGUGCUUAACACAUGCAAGUCGAACGGAAAGGCCCUGCUUUUGUGGGGUGCUCGAGUGGCGAACGGGUGAGUAACACGUGAGUAACCUGCCCUUGACUUUGGGAUAACUUCAGGAAACUGGGGCUAAUACCGGAUAGGAGCUCCUGCUGCAUGGUGGGGGUUGGAAAGUUUCGGCGGUUGGGGAUGGACUCGCGGCUUAUCAGCUUGUUGGUGGGGUAGUGGCUUACCAAGGCUUUGACGGGUAGCCGGCCUGGGAGGGUGACCGGCCACAUUGGGACUGGGAUACGGCCCAGACUCCUACGGGAGGCAGCAGUGGGGAAUAUUGCACAAUGGGCGGAAGCCUGAUGCAGAAACGCCGCGUGCGGGAUGACGGCCUUCGGGUUGUAAACCGCUUUCGCCUGUGACGAAGCGUGAGUGACGGUAAUGGGUAAAGAAGCACCGGCUAACUACGUG
rnacentral:rRNA from 1 species